rnacentral:ncRNA from 1 species
CGAUAGAGGUUGCGGCGAUCAAGAGUAGUUUUCGGCCAGAGUCCUGAGGGGGACUGCAGGAAACGAAAGGGAGAGCCGCCGAAGAUGACCAUAUCCCUUCAGUAUGGAAUUCUGGGCCGCCAUAUAAUAUAUGGCGAACUGUCACAUCAGGACGUGCAGAGCACCGUCUAUGUGGAGCGCUAUCA